AUCCAGAUGAUGAGUCUCAAAUAAGACGAUACGCGCGUCAAACAGGAU
rnacentral:hammerhead_ribozyme from 1 species